UUAAAGGGCCGCGGUAUUCUGACCGUGCGAAGGUAGCAUAAUAAUUAGUCUCCUAAUUAGAGGCUUGUAUGAAUGGUCGGACAAGAUGGGAACUGUCUCAAUACAAUAAAUAAAAUUUAAUAUUUAAGUAAAAAAGCUUAAAUAAUAUGGAGGGACGAUAAGACCCUAUAAAGCUUUAUAGUAUAUUUCUUUUGUAUAAAUUAUUUUGUUACUAACAUAUUUUAGAACAUAUAUUAUUUUACUGGGGCGGUAAAAGUAUAAUAAAGACUAACUGCUUUUAUUUUGAAUAACAAUUGUAGUUGGAAAUAAAUUGAUCCAUUAUUAAUGAUUAUAAAACCAAGUUACUUUAGGGAUAACAG
rnacentral:rRNA from 1 species